GGCCGCGGGAAUUCGAUUAGAGUUUGAUCCUGGCUCAGAACGAACGCUUUCGGUAUGCUUAACACAUGCAAGUCGAACGGAUUUAUUUAGAGCUUGCUUUAAAUAAAUUAGUGGCAGACGGGUGAGUAACACGUGGGAAUCUGCCCAUCAGUACGGAAUAACAUUUAGAAAUAAUUGCUAAUACCGUAUAUUCUCUUUGGAGGAAAGAUUUAUCGCUGAUGGAUGAGCCCGCGCCAGAUUAGGUAGUUGGUAGGGUAAUGGCCUACCAAGCCAAUGAUCUGUAGCUGGUUUGAGAGAAUGAUCAGCCACACUGGGACUGAGACACGGCCCAGACUCCUACGGGAGGCAGCAGUGGGGAAUAUUGGACAAUGGGCGAAAGCCUGAUCCAGCAAUACCGAGUGGGUGAUGAAGGCCUUAGGGUUGUAAAGCCCUUUUCAGCAGGGAAGAUAAUGACGGUACCUGACCAAGAAAGCCCCGGCUAACUCCGUGCCAGCAGCCGCGGUAAUACGAAUCACUAGUGAAUUCGCGGCCGCCUGCAGGUCGACCAUAUGGGAGAGCUCCC
rnacentral:rRNA from 1 species